UCAUUCCAGUCGCCAGGUUGACUGUUUUUCUGUGAAUAUUAUCAUUAUUGACGUUGUGAUUGGUCGAUAUAUUUCAGGAGUUUUGACGCCGACAGCAGAGUCCAACCAAAACUGUUUGCCAAAUCAAAAUACGACUUUGUGGCGAGAAACAACACGGAGCUGUCCGUCCUCAAAGACGAGGUCGUCGAGGUUCUUGACGACAGGAAGCAGUGGUGGAAAGUUCGUAACGGCUGCGGAGCGUCCGGCUACGUGCCAAACAACAUCCUGGAGAUCACCAAAGCUGUGGACCUGAACGGCAGAGGAGAGCCCAUCUACAGCCACACCAUACAGAAGCAGACCACCAGGACAGACUACAUCCCCAGUAAACCGGUGGCGACUCCGAUGCCUCCGGUUCCCACGCCGCCCCCUCCAGCCCCCACCAGGCUCCCCACGCCGCCGCUGCCUCCUCCGGCCGCCGAGCCCCCAAAGCCGGUCG